UAUGUCAUCUUGUGAAGCAGAAUUCAUGGCUGGAACAGAAGCAGCAAGACAGGCG
rnacentral:sRNA from 1 species